UAUUUCCCUCAUUCAGUUCGCAUGCCCUAACCUGCUCCGACGCCGACAAAGCAAUCUGCCACCGACGUCGGCCAAGCACUCGUAUGGACAUACCCACUCUCUUCCCCCAAGAUUUCUGAUGGCCUGAGUUAUUUUCCAUUGUCUCUGCCCCAGACCAUCUACCCUUCAGUUCUCCAGAAUUUUCAGAAUCUCUACAGCCACAACCAAGCAGUGAUUCAAAGGUCGUUGCAACCCCUCAACCAUUGAAUUGACGAAGUCCUCCUCUCACGACUUCCUUCAUAUGGUGCCUUUCUGUUAGGAUGAUACUUAAGAGGGCUGUUAGCUUAAGCAAUAAUAAUAGGCCACAUAUCAGCAUGUGUCUCAUUCUCUAAGGCAAUUCGUACACUUUACGGGUCUGGCUUUCAAUCCUCCCUAUUGUCUUGAGUUGUUCUCUAGCUGCAAUUGAUGAGGUGUCAUUCAAUUUCCAAGGCCUGUGGGGUGCUUUGAUUAGCAAUCUUGGGUUUGUGUUGAGGAACAUUUACUCAAAAUGCAGUUUACAGAACUUCAAGGAAGUAGAUGGGUUGAAUUUGUAUGAUUAUUUGAUGAGGUGGAAGGAUUUGGUUUGUGGUUUUGGACAGAGGACCAUUUGAGGAAGAUGAUUGAUGAGUUUGAGCAGAUCAAGCAACAAUUGGCAGAGUGUUUGGGAAUUCCAUGA